rnacentral:rRNA from 1 species
UGGGGAAUUUUGGACAAUGGGCGCAAGCCUGAUCCAGCCAUGCCGCGUGCGGGAAGAAGGCCUUCGGGUUGUAAACCGCUUUUGUCAGGGAAGAAAUCUUCUGAGUUAAUACCUCGGGAGGAUGACGGUACCUGAAGAAUAAGCACCGGCUAACUACGUGCCAGCAGCCGCGGUAAUACGUAGGGUGCAAGCGUUAAUCGGAAUUACUGGGCGUAAAGCGUGCGCAGGCGGUUUUGUAAGACAGAGGUGAAAUCCCCGGGCUCAACCUGGGAACUGCCUUUGUGACUGCAAGGCUUGAGUGCGGCAGAGGGGGAUGGAAUUCCGCGUGUAGCAGUGAAAUGCGUAGAUAUGCGGAGGAACACCGAUGGCGAAGGCAAUCCCCUGGGCCUGCACUGACGCUCAUGCACGAAAGCGUGGGGAGCAAAACAGGAUUAGAUACCCUGGUAGUCACGCCCUAAACGAUGUCAACUGGUUGUUGGGAAGGUUCCUUCUCAGUAACGUAGCUAACGCGUGAAGUUGACCGCCUGGGGAGUACGGCCGCAAGGUUG